rnacentral:rRNA from 1 species
AGAGUUUGAUCCUGGCUCAGGAUAAACGCUGGCGGCGUGCAUAAAACAUGUAAGUCGAACGGGGUCGGCGCAAGCCGGCUCAGUGGCGGACGGCUGAGUAACGCGUAGGUGACUUGCCUCGAAGUGGGGAAUAACGAUUCGAAAGAAUCGCUAAUACCGCAUGUGGUUGUGCGUAUGGACGCGUGCAACUAAAGCUCGCAAGGGCGCUUUGAGAGAGGCCUGCGUCCGAUUAGCUAGUUGGUGGGGUAACGGCCUACCAAGGCGACGAUCGGUAGCUGAUCUGAGAGGAUGGUCAGCCAGACUGGGACUGAGACACGGCCCAGACUCCUACGGGAGGCAGCAGUUAGGAAUUUUGCACAAUGGGCGAAAGCCUGAUGCAGCAACGCCGCGUGGAUGAUGAAGGCCUUCGGGUCGUAAAAUCCUUUUCAGAGGGAAGAAUCGGACGGUACCUCNGAAUAAGCAU